UGCUCAGUGAAAACCCCUGACAUUCUGUAAGCAAACUGACAAUCCAAUUCAAUCAAGAUUAGAGUUGAGAGCACCUGCCAUACAAGAUACACAGAAUUCAAACUAACAACCUCAGUGUUAACAUGCUAGUGAUAAAGUAGUUACACUACUAAAGUUCUUAGACCCAUCAGACACCCUUGGCUUUUUAAAUGCAAAACUCAACCAAAUAAGG
rnacentral:lncRNA from 1 species